rnacentral:rRNA from 1 species
UCGGGAAUUUUGCUCAAUGGGCGAAAGCCUGAAGCAGCAACGCCGCGUGAGGGAUGAAGGCCUUCGGGUUGUAAACCUCUUUUUUCAGGGACGAUAAUGACGGUACCUGGAGAAUAAGCCACGGCUAACUACGUGCCAGCAGCCGCGGUAAUACGUAGGUGGCGAGCGUUGUCCGGAUUUACUGGGCGUAAAGAGCGCGCAGGCGGUCGGAUCAGUCGAAUGUGAAAGCCCCCGGCUUAACUGGGGAGGGUCAUUCGAUACUGUUCGACUCGAAGGCAGGAGAGGGAAGUGGAAUUCCCGGUGUAGUGGUGAAAUGCGUAGAUAUCGGGAGGAACACCAGUGGCGAAGGCGACUUUCUGGCCUGUUCUUGACGCUGAGGCGCGAAAGCUAGGGGAGCAAACGG